GUUUCCGUAGCUCAGUUGGAUAGAGCAUCGCCCUUCUAAGGCGAGGGUCCCGUGUUCGAGCCACGGCGGAAACACCA
rnacentral:tRNA from 1 species